rnacentral:rRNA from 1 species
AGAGUUUGAUCAUGGCUCAGGACGAACGCUGGCGGCGUGCCUAAUACAUGCAAGUCGAACGAAGCUUUCUUUCACCGAAUGCUUGCAUUCACCGAAAGAAGCUUAGUGGCGAACGGGUGAGUAACACGUAGGCAGCCUACCCAAAAGAGGGGGAUAACACUUGGAAACAGGUGCUAAUACCGCAUAACCAUGAACACCGCAUGAUGUUCGUGUAAAAGACGGCUUUUGCUGUCACUUUUGGAUGGGCCUGCGGCGUAUUAACUUGUUGGUGGGGUAACGGCCUACCAAGGUGAUGAUACGUAGCCGAACUGAGAGGUUGAUCGGCCACAUUGGGACUGAGACACGGCCCAAACUCCUACGGGAGGCAGCAGUAGGGAAUCUUCCACAAUGGACGAAAGUCUGAUGGAGCAACGCCGCGUGAAUGAAGAAGGCCUUCGGGUCGUAAAAUUCUGUUGUCAGAGAAGAAUGUGCGUGAGAGUAACUGUUCACGUAUUGACGGUAUCUGACCAGAAAGCCACGGCUAACUACGUGCCAGCAGCCGCGGUAAUACGUAGGUGGCAAGCGUUGUCCGGAUUUAUUGGGCGUAAAGGGAACGCAGGCGGUCUUUUAAGUCUGAUGUGAAAGCCUUCGGCUUAACCGAAGUAGUGCAUUGGAAACUGGAAGACUUGAGUGCAGAAGAGGAGAGUGGGACUCCAUGUGUAGCGGUGAAAUGCGUAGAUAUAUGGAAGAACACCAGUGGCGAAAGCGGCUCUCUGGUCUGUAACUGACGCUGAGGUUCGAAAGCGUGGGUAGCAAACAGGAUUAGAUACCCUGGUAGUCCACGCCGUAAACGAUGAGUGCUAAGUGUUGGAGGGUUUCCGCCCUUCAGUGCUGCAGCUAACGCAUUAAGCACUCCGCCUGGGGAGUACGGUCGCAAGACUGAAACUCAAAGGAAUUGACGGGGGCCCGCACAAGCGGUGGAGCAUGUGGUUUAAUUCGAAGCAACGCGAAGAACCUUACCAGGUCUUGACAUCUUCUGACAAUUCCAGAGAUGGAACGUUCCCUUCGGGGACAGAAUGACAGGUGGUGCAUGGUUGUCGUCAGCUCGUGUCGUGAGAUGUUGGGUUAAGUCCCGCAACGAGCGCAACCCUUAUUGUCAGUUGCCAUCAUUAAGUUGGGCACUCUGGCGAGACUGCCGGUGACAAACCGGAGGAAGGUGGGGAUGACGUCAAAUCAUCAUGCCCCUUAUGACCUGGGCUACACACGUGCUACAAUGGACGGUACAACGAGUCGCUAACUCGCGAGGGCAAGCUAAUCUCUUAAAGCCGUUCUCAGUUCGGAUUGCAGGCUGCAACUCGCCUGCAUGAAGUCGGAAUCGCUAGUAAUCGCGAAUCAGCAUGUCGCGGUGAAUACGUUCCCGGGCCUUGUACACACCGCCCGUCACACCAUGAGAGUUUGUAACACCCAAAGUCGGUGGGGUAACCUUUUGGAGCCAGCCGCCUAAGGUGGGACAGAUGAUUGGGGUGAAGUCGUAACAAGGUA